AUUGAACGCUGGCGGCAGGCCUAACACAUGCAAGUCGAGCGGAAGGAGGGAGCUUGCUCCUGGAUUCAGCGGCGGAAGGGUGAGUAAUGCCUAGGAAUCUGCCUGGUAGUGGGGGAUAACGUCCGGAAACGGGCGCUAAUACCGCAUACGUGCUGAGGGAGAAAGAGGGGGGGCUUCGGAACUCACGCUAGCAGAGGAGCCUAGGCCGGACUAGCUAGUUGGUGGGGUAGAGGCCUACCAAGGAGACGAUCCGUAACUGGUCUGAGAGGAUGAUCAGUCACACUGGAACUGGGACACGGACCAGACUACUACGAGAGGGAGCAGUGGGCAAUGUUAGACAGUGGGCGAAAGCCUGGUCCAGCCGUGCCGAGUGUGUGGAGGAGGUCUUCGGAUUGUAAAGCACGUUAACUUGGGAGGAAGGGCAUUAGGUUAAUACCUUGCUGUUUUGACGUUAACAACAGAAUAAGCACCGGCUAACUUCGUG
rnacentral:rRNA from 1 species